UACAGGGGGGGCGAGCGUUGUUCGGAAUUACUGGGCGUAAAGGGUUUGUAGGUGGCUUGCUCAGUCAGACGUGAAAUCCCUCAGCUUAACUGGGGAACUGCGUCUGAUACUAGCGAGCUUGAGUGCAGGAGAGGAACGCGGAAUUCCUGGUGUAGCGGUGAAAUGCGCAGAUAUCAGGAGGAACACCGAUGGCGAAGGCAGGUCUCUGGGCCACUACUGACGCUGAGAAGCGAAAGCAUGGGGAGCGAACAGG
rnacentral:rRNA from 1 species